rnacentral:rRNA from 1 species
AUACGUAGGGGGCGAGCGUUGUCCGGAAUGAUUGGGCGUAAAGGGCGCGUAGGCGGCCCGGUAAGUCUGGAGUGAAAGUCCUGUUUUUAAGAUGGGAAUUGCUUUGGAUACUGUCGGGCUUGAGUGCAGGAGAGGUAAGUGGAAUUCCCAGUGUAGCGGUGAAAUGCGUAGAGAUUGGGAGGAACACCCGUGGCGAAGGCGACUUACUGGACUGUAACUGACGCUGAGGCGCGAAAGUGUGGGGAGCAAACAGGAUUAGAUACCCUGGUAGUCCACGCUGUAAACGAUGAAUGCUAGGUGUAGGGGGUAUCGACCCCUUCUGUGCCGCAGGCAACACAAUAAGCAUUCCGCCUGGGGAGUACGGCCGCAAGGUUGAAACUCAAAGGAAGUGACGGUG